UGUCUGAUGGUGUAAGGGUAGCACAGUGGAUUUUGAUUCCACUAGUCUAGGUUCGAAUCCUAGUCGGACAGCCA
rnacentral:tRNA from 1 species